CAAACGCUGUGGGGCGAAAGGACGGCGCUUCCCAGCUCUAGUUCACCAAGAAGAAGCAAAACGUAGUGAACGGAGUCCAGGGCCAGCCUACGUAACGUUGACGUGCGACGUCCUCCUGGCCUCCAGGCGCGUGCGCAGUGUGUUUGUCAGGGGCCUCCGGCUGCUGUCAGCCGCCGUGGCGGCGCGCUUUGGAGUUGGUUUUUCUGUUCCCGGUGUCUGGAGGGCGGGUCUGGGCCUCCUUCCUGGGUCUGUGGCGCUUCACCUCUCUCCUGCGCGGUGCAGAUCGCCGUAGGCCCUCAGGAGCAGAUGUGGAGAAUGGCCCCCUGGAGUGAGAAGAGCGAGUGAAGCGCCGCCUCUCUAGACUCCCGGGUCUGAGGUGGGCGUGAGCGAAGAUUUUAAUUUAACUUGAAAAUGAGUAAGUGCAGAAAGCCACCACUGGGUUCAAGUUCUGAGACAUUCAGCCCAGAUGUUGUUGCUGCCAUUUUUGAACUCUUUGCCAAGAACUUUUCUUAUGGCAAGCCACUUAAUAAUGAGUGGCAGUUACCAGAUCCCAGUGAGAUGUUCACCUGUGACCACAUGGAAUUUAAUGUAUUUCUUGAUUUGAAGAACUCCCUAAAUGAAGUAAAAAACCAACUGAGUGAUAAGAAACUGGAUGAGUGGCAUGAGCACACUGCUUUCACUAAUAAAGCUGGAAAAAUAAUUUCUCAUGUGAGAAAAUAUGUGAAUGCUGAACUUUGUACUCAAGCAUGGUGUAAGUUUCAUGAAAUUUUGUGCAGCUUUCCAAUUAUUCCACAGGAAGCUUUUCAGAAUAGAAAACUGAAUUCUCUACACCUUUGUGAAGCUCCUGGAGCUUUUAUAGCAAGUCUCAAUCAUUACUUGAAAUCCCAUCCAUUCCCUUGUGAUUGGAACUGGGUGGCUAAUACCCUGAAUCCAUACCAUGAAGCAAAUGACAAUCUGAUGAUGAUCAUGGAUGACCGACUUAUUGCGAAUACCUUGCAUUGUUGGUACUUUGGUCCAGAUAACACUGGUGAUAUCAUGACCUUGAAAUAUCUGACUGGACUUCAGGAUUUCGUAAGCAACAUGGGUACUAUUCAUUUGAUCACUGCUGAUGGGAGUUUUGAUUGCCAAGGAAAUCCUGGUGAACAAGAAGCUUUAGUCUCUUCUUUGCACUACUGUGAAGUAGUCACUGCUCUGAUGACUCUUGGAAAUGGUGGCUCUUUUGUUCUGAAGAUGUUUACGUUAUUUGAACAUUGUUCCAUAAACCUGAUGUACCUGCUAAACUGUUCCUUUGACCAAGUCCAUGUUUUUAAACCUGCUACAAGCAAGGCAGGAAACUCAGAAGUCUAUGUGGUGUGUCUCCACUAUAAGGGGAAAGAGGUAAUCCAUCCUUUGUUAUCUAAGAUGAUGCUGAAUUUUGGGACUGAAAUGACCAGGAAAGCUCUUUUUCCUCACCAUGUGAUUCCUGAAUCUUUUCUUAAAAGACAUGAAGAAUGUUGUGUGUUCUUUCAUAAAUACCAGCUAGAGACUAUUUCCGAGAACAUUCGUUUGUUUGAGUGCAUGGAAAAAGAAGAACAAGCAAGGCUGAAUAAAUUAAGAGACUGUGCUGUUCAACAUUUCAUGGAAAAGUACCAAUUGAAGCCUCUUUCCAGAAAUAAUUGGCUAGUAAAAAAAUCUAAUAUUGGUUGUAGUACAAAUACAAAAUGGUUUGGGCAGAGGAACAGAUAUUUUAAAACCUAUAAUGAAAGGAAAAUGCUAGAAACCCUUUCAUGGAAGGAUAAGGUGGCCCAAGGAUACUUUAAUAGUUGGGCUGAGGAACAUGCUUCAUAUCAUCCUGGGAAAAGCUCUCUUUUAGAAGGGACAGCCUCCAAUCUUGAAUGUCAUUUAUGGCAUAUUUUAGAGGGAAAGAGACUGCCAAAAGUAAAGUGUUCUCCCUUUUGUGAUGGUGAAAUUUUAAAGGCUCUUAAUGAAGCAAUUGAAAAGUCAUUAGGAGGAGCCUUGGAUUCGGAUUUCAAGUUUAGACCAAAACAGCAUUGUUCUUGUCAUGUUUUUUCUGAAGAACUGAUAAUUUCUGAGUUGUUUAGCCUUACCAAGUGCCUUCAAGAUGAACAGUUUGUACAACCCAGCAACCAAAAAAAGUGCCUGCUUGUAGGUUUUCCUGCUCUUUCUGAUAACAAAAUGCAUAUACCAUUGGAAGUUCAACUCCUUGAAUCAGUCGAACUCAUGACUUUUACCUGUUCAUUGCUUCAUGAUGGAGACCCAACUUACCAGCAGUUAUUUUUGGACUGCCUUCUACAUUCAUUACAGCAACUUAAUACAGGCGAUGUUAUGAUUUUGCCUGUACUUUCUUGUUUUACAAGGUUUAUGGCUGGUUUGAUCCUUGUACUCCACAGCUGUUUUAAAUUCAUUACGUUUUCUUGUCCCACAUCAUCUGCACCCCUGAGGACCUGUGCAGUCCUGCUAUGUGUCGGUUACAAGGACCUUCCAAAUGCAGUUUUCCAGUAUCUGCAGAAUGUGAAUGAAAUGUUGAGUGUUUUGCUUAACAGUGAUGCACCCCAGCAAGUGUUACAGUUUGUGCCAAUGGGACUGCUCCUUAAGGGGGCACUACUUGAUUUUUUGUGGGAUUUGAAUGCUGCCAUUGCUAAAAGGCAUUUGCAUUUGAUUAUUCAACGAGAGAGAGAAGAAAUCAUCAACAGCCUUUAGUUGUGAAAUUGAACUUGUCUUUCUGACAUUUAACUUUAUGACUUCUUAUAGUUUCCAUUGUUAUUGCAUCCCUUUACUAUUUAUAACCUUACAUUUUGGGGAAAGGCCAACUUCUGUUUCAUUUAAUGGCUCAAUAUUUCUGGAAAACCAUCAGCUAGUUCCCAUCUCUAGGAUAUAUACAUACACAGGCAUAGGGUUUUCCUUGUGGUGGAAUCUGUGAGUGUUGAUACUCAACCUCAGACAUGAGAUGUGUGUGUGUGCUUGGGAUGGACAUGUCCAUGCCUGCAUAUGCAGUUUAGUUAGUCUUCUUUAUCUGCGUAAGGUUUUUACAGAGUGCCUUUAUUCAGAUUUUUCUCCAGCUAAUUUCCUCUCAAUGGCUAGUGCUGUUAAUGAACCGAUGAAAUGAGGUGAGUCACUCCUGAGCAACCCUGACUUCCUUUAACACUGACCAUGUCAGUUAUGGAUUUAGGAAACAUCUUGCCAGAUUUCUAGUUACAUGCCAUCAUUGCCAUUGACCCAGUUUACUUUUAUGGUUCAAAUGAAGCUACUGUGCUGUUUCAUGAAUAGACUAACCACAGCCACCAACCAGAAGGGAUAUCAGGACAGCUUCAAACCAAAGAUCAUGUUUAAAACAAUGAAAAAUUAUUCUGUCUAAAAAUGUCUGUAUCAUGAAAAGCCUGAUUUAGCAAUGAUGUAGUAAUUUUUAACUUCCAGGAAAUAAUCUGAACUAAAAGACAUUUUAAAAUUUCAAGAUAAUGUUUAUGGUCUUAUAUUGGGAACACAUGACUGUGAUAAAUGUAGUGAAUACUGAAAAAUUUUUUAACACUUUCAUAAUGGUGAUUCAGCAUUUAACAUUUUUGUGGUCUUUACAGUUUCUUUUUUCAGUAUGAAAGUAGCACUUUAUCAAAAGUUUAACCAUGAGAUGGUUAUUUUAUGUUGUUUGAUUUCUUUUGAAUUAUAUGUAUUUAACAGUGUAACUGAACUUUUCUGGCAAACUAGUAAGCAAAUCUUUACUACUUUGAAAUUCCACAAAAUGGAGAAUAUUUAUAUUCUUACAGGUACAUUUUAGACAUUUUUGUUAGUUAUAUGAAAAAUAGAUGUAUUCUUUGAUGUAUUUGGUUGAUAAAUAUUAAUCUGAAAUUUCUUUCAUGUUCUUUGCUAUUUUGAGUUCCAUUAUAGAUUCAUGAAUAAAGUCAUUAGCAGAGAGAUUUUUGUGUUCGUCUUUUUUAAAGAGAAUCAUGGGGAAAGUUAAAAAUAUAACUUGGAAACAGAUAUUUUUAAGGAAGGUUUGAAUGAGAGUUAAUGUUCCUUCAUUUCCUCUGAUUUGUAUUCAUUAAAAUUUAGUCCUUAAUAUUGUAUUAUUUAUGGAAGCUCUACUUUGGGAAAGAAAUGGAAUACUUGAGGGAGGGAGAGGAGGGGGUAGAUUUAGUUCUUGUCAGGGAGGGUGUGGAUGCCUGGAGGUAGAUUUCUGGAAGAAAUGUGAUUUCCUACUGGUGACUUUAUGGAAGCAGUUCCUGUUGUAUAAUGAUAGAAAAUAGUUACCUAGAAAGAGUUAAAACCGCUCUUAGAAAACCCUUUUGUAUUUGGUAGUCUUUAUUAUUCCUUGGUUGAUUUGGUCCAACAUAAUGACGCUAUUCAUUUCUACUUUACUUUAACCAUUCAUUAGAAUGAAGUUGAAAGCCUAGGUUUAGGUUCUGAUAUUAAAAGUUCCUUUUGAGCCUCUUAAACAAGUAUUUAAUAUUUAGGUUUUUAACAUUAACCUGUAUCGACGUGUAAUAUAUUGGUGUAUACUAGAAUAUUUUGGUUUUUAACAUGGCAUU